rnacentral:rRNA from 1 species
AGAGUUUGAUCAUGGCUCAGAUUGAACACUGGCGGCAGGCCUAACACAUGCAAGUCGAACGGUAGCACAGAGGAGCUUGCUCCUUGGGUGACGAGUGGCGGACGGGUGAGUAAUGUCUGGGAAACUGCCCGAUGGAGGGGGAUAACUACUGGAAACGGUAGCUAAUACCGCAUAACGUCGCAAGACCAAAGAGGGGGACCUUCGGGCCUCUUGCCAUCGGAUGUGCCCAGAUGGGAUUAGCUAGUAGGUGGGGUAACGGCUCACCUAGGCGACGAUCCCUAGCUGGUCUGAGAGGAUGACCAGCCACACUGGAACUGAGACACGGCCCAGACUCCUACGGGAGGCAGCAGUAGGGAAUCUUCGGCAAUGGACGAAAGUCUGAUGCAGCCAUGCCGCGUGUAUGAAGAAGGCCUUCGGGUUGUAAAGUACUUUCAGCGAGGAGGAAGGUGUUGUGGUUAAUAACCGCAGCAAUUGACGUUACUCGCAGAAGAAGCACCGGCUAACUCCGUGCCAGCCGCCGCGGUAAUAC